rnacentral:misc_RNA from 1 species
GCAGGGGGUCGUCGGUUCGAUCCCGACAGGCUCCACCAUUUGAGUGAAACGACUUUGGGUCUGUAGCUCAGGUGGUUAGAGCGCACCCCUGAUAAGGGUGAGGUCGGUGGUUCGAGUCCUCCCAGACCCACCACUCUGAAUGUAGUGCACACUUAAGAAUUUAUAUGGAUCAGCGUUGAGGCUGAGACAUGUUCUUUUAUAACUUGUGACGUAGCGAGCGUUUGAGAUAUCUAUCUAAACGUGUCGUUGAGGCUAAGGCGGGGACUUCGAGUCCCUAAAUAAUUGAGUCGUAUGUUCGCGUUGGUGGCUUUGUACCCCACACAACACGACAGAUAGCUCCGAGGCAACUUGGGCUUAUAUGGUCAAGCGAAUAAGCGCACACGGUGGAUGCCUAGGCGGUCAGAGGCGAUGAAGGACGUGGUAGCCUGCGAAAAGUGUCGGGGAGCUGGCAACAAGCUUUGAUCCGGCAAUAUCCGAAUGGGGAAACCCACUGCUUCGGCAGUAUCCUGCAGUGAAUUCAUAGCUGCUGGAAGCGAACCCGGUGAACUGAAAUAUCUAAGUAACCGGAGGAAAAGAAAUCAACCGAGAUUCCCUAAGUAGUGACGAGCGAACGGGGAGCAGCCCUUAAGCUGGAAUGGCUUUAGAAAAACAAUCUGGAA